GGCUUCCCCUGAAAUAUAAUUGACACAGUCAGAGAAGAUGCCGACCGUGACCGAAAUGCUUCUUCAGCUGUGAAUGAGGGGUGUGUGUGUUUAUACCUGGGCUUCCUGUGGCAGCUGUGAAUGAGGAGGGUGUGUGUGUUUAUACCUGGGCUUCCUGUGGCAGCUGUGAAUGAGGAGUGUGUGUGUUUAUACCUGAGCUUCCUGUGGCAGCUGUGAAUGAGGAGUGAGUGUGUGUGUUUAUACCUGGGCUUCCUGUGGCAGCUGUGAAUGAGGAGUGAGUGUGUGUGUUUAUACCUGGGCUUCCUGUGGCAGCUGUGAAUGAGGAGAGUGUGUGUGUUUAUACCUGAGCUUCCUGUGGCAGCUGGAAGGCGUCGAUGCGGUCGGUGAGGUACGAGGUGAGCGUCUGGUCCAGCUGCGUCAGGGACGUCUGUAGUGUUUGUAAC